rnacentral:lncRNA from 1 species
UAAAUGAUUGCUUGAUUGUUUCUUGUAGACAUACGAGGUCGGUGUGCUCAUUACGAAUGUUUGGCCAAAGCUUGUAAGCAAUGAAAGCAUGAUCUGACAAGACGCUCUGCUCUUUCUAACUUUGCUACCGAACCUAGAGGAAAUUUAUAAUGCCACUUAAUGGUUACUAGAACCCGGUCAUGUUUUGGUAAGUAGGAACGGGUCGCGUAUUUGCCCAGAUGAACUAAUGGCCAGGCGUAGUGAGCUCCUCCAGACCAAAGCUGUCAAUACAAGGAAAUGCCACCUACCCCCAAACCAACCAUUGUGUUGGGUUUUCACCACACAUAAUUUUCGUAGAUAAAAGAAAGCGCCUAGAGUACAAUUACAAGAAAAUUUAUGGAGUUGAUUUUAAGAAGGGCAAUACUCUGCGUGGUCCCACCGGCCCAAUCGUUUCGGCUGGUCACCGCGCAGCCGUAUGAUUCAGUAUGCGGCAUCUGUCCGAUAUGUACCUCAGUAGUCGUCUUCUUCCUUGGAUAGGUCAACGCAAAGAAACAAAAAAAAAUACUUGAUCCGAUUUUGUCCUGCGGCUAGCGCGUCCGACAAGAGCAGCAGAUGUCUGCUUCCCUCCUUGCUCCGCCGCCCUCGCGCCAGUCGCUGCCCUCGCCGCCGUCGUCUCCUUCCUUUCCCACCGGCUCCACGUAUACAGCAGCAUGCCCCCUUGUAGUUGCAGCUCCCCGUGACGACGGACGCAGCUCCGGUGGUGACGGUCGCAACUCCGGUGAAGAUGGUCGUAGCUCCGACGGGGAUGGACACCUGGUAGCAGCUCCGGUGGCGUCAUGUGGUCGUCUGGUGCUCGUGUUGAUUCCAACAAAAACACUUACGGUUGAAACAUUUUUCAUAUAUCGUUGAAGAUUUUUCUAUCAACGGUUGCAACAACCGCGAGCAAGGUUCCCCAGCUUGGCCAUGGUGAUCGUGAAACCUCUCCGCUGUCCGAGAUGCAGCUCAGCCGUGAUGGAUGUAGCAAAACGUUAUGCCGGUUGUAGCAAAAUGAAACACGGCAUAUGUAGCAAAAAUCACGACGCCAUGUGCAAUGUAGCAAAAAAUGCGACACCGACGAUAGCCAAAUACGGUGCCGGUUGUAGCAAAUCUUGACGUCGGUUGAAGCAUGUAGUAAAUUACUGAGCUGCAACUUCGUCGGCCAAGCCCGUUGCAGCUCCAGUCGUCAUGGAGCAGUUGAGAGAGGGGAAAUCGAGGGGAGUUCCAGAGUGCUCGCCGAAGAAGAAGACGUGGCUCGCUAAAGGAGAUUGUCGGGGUAGGAUUUUUCAUGACAACCGGAAGGUUGGGGAAAGGAAGAAGAGGGAUGCGGGGAUGAAGAAGAAGAUAACAUGAUGGGCCCUCCGAUUUGAUUCGCUUUCGCGAGCGAGUAGAUAGACCGACCGAAGCGUUUGACCGACGCUGGACCCAAAUGUUUCCCUUUCAGGAAACUAUUGAUCCCAAUCCAAAGGUUCCUCUUUUUCUCCUAGCUCCAGCCAACCAUGCAUGCUUCUGCCUAAGCCUAGCACCGCACAUGAGUAGUCGAUAACCGGGGCUUCGGUCAACGGCUUGCCUUUCUUCUCACCUUCUUCGACUCAUUGCCUCCCGCAGUUUGAUUCAGACUCAUCCCAUGUCAUCCUGACUUUGCACGAUGACCACGAGUCAUGAAAGACCGUGCGGUUUACAAAUCAAAUCUGAAUUC